rnacentral:lncRNA from 10 species
CGCAGACGCUCCCCGCAGACGCUCGGCAGGUGUCUUGAUAUUAUCAUCUGCUGAGGGUGGAGCUGAGGGUGGAAAGGGAGUGAGCUGACGCUCGGAAGGUGUCUUGAGAUCAUCCGCUGAGGGUGGAAGGCAGGUGUCUUGAUAUUAUCAUCUGCUGAGGGUGGAGCUGAGGGUGGAAGGGGAGUGAGCUGACGCUCGGAAGGUGUCUUGAGAUUAUCAUCCGCUGAGGGUGGAAGCGGCCCCCGCAGACGCUCGGCAGGUGUCUUGAUAUUAUCAUCUGCUGAGGGUGGAAGGGCAGUGAGCUGACGCUCGGAAGGUGUCUUGAGAUUAUCAUCCGCUGAGGGUGGAAGGGGAUGGAGCAGACACUCGGCACGUGUCUUGAGAUUAUCAUCCGCUGAGGGUGGAGCUGAGGGUAGAGCUGAGGGUGGAAGGGGAGUGAGCAGACACUCGGGAGGUGUCUUGAGAUUAUCAUCCGCUGAGGGUGGAAGGGGAGUGAGCAGACACUCAGGAGGUGUCUUGAGAUUAUCAUCCGCUGAGGGUGGAAGGGGAGUGAGCAGACACUCGGGAGGUGUCUUGAGGCUCAGGGAGUUAUCAGUUAUAGAAUGUUGUUGAGUUGGAGGAGGUGGCUGGUGGCCCAUCCUGUUUUUUAAAGUUUCAGCUGUGAGGUA